CUAAAUGUGUUUAUACUUGUGUUUUAGACAAAUGGAAUAAUUUGUGAAGCAAAGACUACAACAACCUGCUAUUUAAUGGAAACAUUUGAAGAGCAAGAAGUGGAUGAAAGUUUUAUACUGCUGGAUGACCGUGGUUCUCAACUGGUCCUAGAUUAUCCCCAGCAAUACACAUUUUGGAUGUCUUCCUUAUCUGACACCCUUUUCCGGCCUUGGAGUCUCUCUGCUAACAAGCUGAUGGUCAUGGAGAAACUGCCUUCAAAACCCUUCCCGCUGUCCUGCCAUCAUCGCCAUGUCUCACAGUUGGGAAAAUGGUGCUGAAAUGAAGCACAGCUUAACUGACAAUCACCCUGUUGGCACUAAUAUAAUGCAUUACCUGAGCAGUGAGACAAGCCAGGAUCCACAUGACUUGAUGCCUUGAGGACAAAGAGAACUCCCAAGUUUUUUAUGUAUAUAUAUAUUUUUUUGGAUCCACUUCAAAUGUUGACUAUUAAGAGGGGUUCCUUCAACACUGCUGCCUCCUUAAGAACUUUGAUCAUCAUCAUUAGGUCCAACAUAUUUGUGGUUUUAUUACUUAAGGUAUGUUUACAACACAUCAAUGCAUACAAUGUACAGUGCUGACCCACAAAAUAGAACCGGAGUCCUAUUCCAUUA